rnacentral:rRNA from 1 species
GCGGCGGACGGGUUAGUAACGCGUGGGAACGAACCUUUUGCUUCGGAAUAGCCUCGGGAAACUGGGAGUAAUACCGAAUGUGCCCUUUGGGGGAAAGAUUUAUCGGCAAAAGAUCGGCCCGCGUCUGAUUAGAUAGUUGGUGGGGUAAUGGCCUACCAAGUCUGCGAUCAGUAGCUGGUUUGAGAGGAUGAUCAGCAACACUGGGACUGAGACACGGCCCAGACUCCUACGGGAGGCAGCAGUGGGGAAUCUUAGACAAUGGGCGCAAGCCUGAUCUAGCGAUGCCGCGUGAGUGACGAAGGCCUUAGGGUCGUAAAGCUCUUUCGCCAGGGAUGAUAAUGACAGUACCUGGUAAAGAAACCCCGGCUAACUCCGUGCCAGCAGCCGCGGUAAUACGGAGGGGGUUAGCGUUGUUCGGAAUUACUGGGCGUAAAGCGCACGUAGGCGGAUUAGAAAGUUGGGGGUGAAAUCCCAGGGCUCAACCCUGGAACUGCCUCCAAAACUACUAGUCUAGAGUUCGAGAGAGGUGAGUGGAAUUCCGAGUGUAGAGGUGAAAU